rnacentral:misc_RNA from 1 species
UCCGGCUUAUCACCGGCGGUUUCUUUAGAGUGCCCAACUAAAUGAUGGCAACUAAAGACGAGGGUUGCGCUCGUUGCGGGACUUAACCCAACAUCUCACGACACGAGCUGACGACAGCCAUGCACCACCUGUGACUCACCCUCGAAGGCGACCACGUUUCGGCGGCUUGCAGAGUCAUGUCAAGCCCUGGUAAGGUUCUUCGCGUUGCAUCGAAUUAAGCCACAUGCUCCACCGCUUGUGCGGGCCCCCGCCAAUUCCUUUGAGUUUCAACCUUGCGGCCGUAGUCCCCAGGCGGUUCACUUAAUGCGUUAGCUGCGGCACCGAGGGUUACCCCCCACACCUAGCACCCAACGUUUACGGCUGGGACUAC